AACGAACGCUGGCGGCGCGUCUUAAACAUGCAAGUCGAACGGCAGGAAGGGGCUUGCCCCUUCUGAGAGUGGCGGACUGGUGAGUAACACGUGGGUGACAUACCUUUUAGUUGGGGAUAGCUAUUAGAAAUAGUAGGUAAUACCGAUUGUGACCGUACCUGUUAGAGGGGUACGAGGAAAGGAGCUAAGGCUUCGCUAAAAGAAUGGCUCGCGGCCCAUUAUGCUCGUUGGUGAGGUAACGGCCCACCAAGGCGAUGAUGGGUAUCCGGCCUGAGAGGGUGAACGGACACAUUGGGACUGAGAUACGGCCCAGACUUCUACGGGAGGCAGCAGUUAAGAAUAUUCCGCAAUGGACGAAAGUCUGACGGAGCGACGCCGCGUGGAUGAAGAAUGCCGAAAGGUUGUAAAAUCCUUUUAAGCCUGAUGAAUAAGCACAGUAGGGAAUGAUUGUGCGGUGACCGUAGGGCUUGAAUAAGCACCGGCUAAUUACGUG
rnacentral:rRNA from 1 species